GCAGUUCAACGAGCCGGACCGAGUUCGGGUUCAAUCGGUCGAGAGCGAAGUAGCGGUUGUGCAAGCCGGGUCGCAGGGUAACGGAUCGCGCCAGCGAGGUGCCGUGACCUCGUCCCGCCGCGGGGUCGUCGUCGCCGCCGCGCGCGGCGCGAGCGGCCGGGCCCGGAAGAGGGGCGCAGCGGGCGGAGACCAGCCGUCGCGGAGCGGGCGUCGGAGGAGACGAGCCAAGGAGGGUCGGCCGCGGCUUAAGGGACAAGAUCCACCGUCUUAGAGAAGCGAUGUCGAAAUCCCUACAGCAGGAGAAGGUGUCAUCUCCCGUUCCUACCGCUCAAGUGACUCCAGCACCACCACGCCGUACCGCUCUGAAGGACCUUGCGGAGCGCGUAGUAUGUCCCCGUGAACCUACGUCUCGACUUACUCUAACCCUCCGUCGUUCGACAACGCCAACGAGUAGCCGACAGAUUUCUUCGGUUUGGUCGACGGUAUAUGAGCAGUCUAAACUUCGCCCGGCGUCUCUGACGUUCUUGUUAUCGUUUUAAGACGUUAAAUGGUUUACAACACAAACUAGGACGUGAAUCUCUUUCUGUGUAUCCUCUACACGUCCCGGACUGCGAAGUUCUACGACAGUUUCUUUUCGGUCUUCGAAUGUUUCGAAAAUACAGAGUGUUCUCUUUGGUCGUUUAAGGACCACCACCCCUCUCAGAACUAGUUGAUAGGCUCGCUACACAGAGGACGGACAUAUUUUAUCAGCUCUUUGUAUCUCCCCUCGCACAAUAGGACCAGAGAGUACCGCCUUGGUAGUCUCUCGAGAUGUCCGUGCGGUCAGGGCACGGCGAGGCGCCAUUUUAUGUGUUGUGCAGCCAAUGACAGCACGAGCAAAGACCACUGUGACCGGCGACGUAACAGUUCUACACACCCCUACAAUCGGUGGAACUCCGGUGGCCACAAGACCUCUUACGGAAACCGCCGCUGUUCAGAAGUCGGAUUCUCGUGGGAGGGACGUCGUCAAGAAUGCACAUCUCCUAUGUCUAUGUCAUGUUUAAAAGAGCAGUACAAAAACGACACUGUGUGUAUGCUUACGCUAUAUACCUCGCCUACGAUGAACUUAUGCCUAUGCUUAGUCUACAAUGAGUCAAGCCUCGUAUAUACCUAGAAUUUUAAAUCACAUACAUAAUAAUCCACGUUUUAAUUCAAUCGUUGACACACUGUGUUUUAAUAGAUGAGCAUUGUAUACUAUUCAGUUACUAUUUAUUAUAGGGAGACAGGCCUUUAUGAAGAGUAGUUUUACUUAUUUUCCCUUACAUAGAUCUGUAUAAAAUCAAAAUCUAUGUAGGAAAAAACAGGUAAAACUACUGUUCAUAAAAGCCUGCCUCUCUCAUCUACUUAUUUAUGAUAAGGGAGGUAAAGUUUUAUUCACAGAAUUGAAUGAAUAAAACCCUUAUGAGGGAGACAGUCCUUUAUUAAGAGCGAGUUUGUCUAAAUUUGGACUCCCCCAAUCCAAAACGAUGUUUCCUUGGAUUAUUAAAGGUUCACGUUAAAGUAUGUUUAUGUUUUCACCUUAAACUGGUGAAAAAUCUGAAAAUACAACAUAUUAACUCUAAACCC
rnacentral:rRNA from 1 species